CUCUGCCAGUCUCCUUCCUAGAGCUUGCUGCUGUCUUCCCUCCUUGCACCGUGCCCAGAAGCAAAUGUCAUGAGGAACAUGUCUGUCUGGGUCUACUUCCUGGUACAACUGAGCCCGGGUGACUCUUUGGUGGGUGGGCAGUCAUGGAGACAGGAGAGCCAGCAGUGACAGAUGGAUUAUGCCUCAUUGACAUUUGGUUGAGGCUUCUUCAAGCAAAAUUUUGUUGGAUAGAUGUACACAAAACUGGGAAAGCGAUUUGGAGAAUCACGUCUUGGUGAAAUGAAGACUUAACAUGAAUAAGAUUGUUUGGAAAGUAGCAAUGUGAAACCGUGCCUUAAGGUUUCAUGAACUCUGAAGCAGAGGUCUGCCUAUCCCAGGCUGGGGAUGUGACUUAGAGCAGGCAUGGCAACCUUAAUUUUUUACUGGCACAACUACAGAAGCGAAGAACAAAAGACCUACUAUAGCCACUGUUAGUUUGGUGCAGCAGUAAUUUUUUUAAGGUUUAUUUUACUUUUACUUGUUAUAUGUGUGUUGGGUAUGUGGAAGGGUUUUGCUCCUGUGUGCUAGUGACCAGAAGAGGGUGUCAGGUUUCCUGGAGCUGGGGUUAUAGAUGGUUGUGCGCCAUCCUGCACAGGUGCUAAGAACCGAGGUCAACUGCUCUCUCUGCAAGAGCAGUGUGCACUGCCACCUCUCCCGUCCUGGAGAUGGUGCUUUUCUUUGGCCUUCACAUCAGAUCUCUAAUGCUUUACCUUGCCUGAUGGCUGCUUGCUAGCCAGGGGUGUGCCGUGUCUUGUUGACCUUCACAGUUUCCACGUUCAGUCUUAAGGCAAGUGGCUCUUCCUCUGGAUCCUAGCCAGUUUGAAAAUUAACUGUGGCUACCUUUAUGUGCUUUCUAAGGCCAACAAGGAAUCAUCACUCCCCUUUCCUGGUGUAGUCCACAAGUUACUGAGACAAUAAAUAGUCUUGUUUGCGUUUGUGUAUGCUCUUUGUUCUGCCGGUGGUAUUGAUCGGCCCAUGUUUUCUCACCCCAUGUGCGAAGCCCCACGGGAGUGGAGAGAGGGCAGCUCACUUCCAAAUGAACCUCCUGCAACUGAAUUUAGCUGAUUCUUCAUCCAGAGAUUUCUCUGCCAGAGUUCAAGUUCUGCCUCAGUAGGAAAAGUAUCACAGAUGCCAAUAAUGUGUUUUAG
rnacentral:lncRNA from 1 species